rnacentral:rRNA from 1 species
AAGUCGUAACAAGGUUUCCGUAGGUGAACCUGCGGAAGGAUCAUUAGUGAGUACAAACGCUUGGGUGUCUCUGCUUCGGCAAGCCCCUCGCACCCUUCACAUCCAUAACACCUGUGCACUGUAGGAUGACUCUCUGGACUUCGGUCCUUGGGUCGUCUGACCUUUUUACAAACUAUUAUAUGUAACAAAUGUAGUCUUAUUAUAACAAAAUAAAACUUUCAACAACGGAUCUCUUGGCUCACACAUCAAUGAAGAACGCAGCGAAACGCGAUAGGUAAUGUGAAUUGCAGAAUUCAGUGAAUCAUCGAAUCUUUGAACGCAUCUUGCGCUUGCUGGUAUUCCGGCAAGCAUGCCUGUUUGAGUGUCAUGAAAAUUAUCAACCAUGACUUGGGUUUAGGCCCUCGUUCUUGGCUUGGAUUUGGGUGCUUGCGGUCUUGUGCUGCUCACCUUAAAAGGAUUAGCUGGACAUGUCUUUUGACUUGGUUCUACUUGGCGUAAUAAGUAUUUCGCUGAGGACAUCCCUUCUGGGGUGGCCAAGACUCUGGCAAACGUCUGCUUUCUAACUCGACUGUCCUCGGACAUCACUUUUUAUGAUCUGGCCUCAAAUCAGGUAGGACUACCCGCUGAACUUAAUCAUAUCAAUAAGCGGAGGAAAAGAAACUAA